UCAUUUGCUUGAAAAAAGCAACUUGUUCCAUUAUGAUAAGGAGUUAGAGUUGAUGAAUAAAGAAGUAUCAGAUGAAGAUUUAGCAGAUUUACCUGAAGGUCCCCGUGCACCAAAAAUAAGGAAAAUUGCAUUAAGUCAUAAUUUGGACACCGAGGGACAAUCAAAAGAUUCGACUCUCAAAAAGACUGAGGUCAAAACGGUUAAUAAUAAAACGGAUCCCAUUUUAUCCGUUGAAACCAACACGGAAAUAUAAGGUGUAGCUUUUUCAAAAACGUCUAAGCAAGUAACACCACCAAGUAAUCAAGCAGGACAAUAUGUUACAAAAUAACUGCUUAAAGAAGCUUCAGUUGUUUAAAACGAAAACAUUCAGAAAACGCUGCAAGAACUAUUUAACAGGCCCUCUACAAGUUCAGCUAACAACGAAAGAUAAAGUACCAAGUCCACAGCCAAAUCACCAUCAGUAAAUACACCAUCAGGAG